UGUGCCGCUUGCGAGGGCGUAUGGUGGAUGCCUUGGCAGACAGUACCGAUGAAGGACGUUUGAGGAUGCGAUAAUCCUAGGGGAGCCUCCAACAUGGCUUUGAUCCUAGGGUCUCCGAAUGGGGGAACCCGCCGGCCGUCAUGGGCCGGCACCGCCUAUGGGCGGGGGGUACGCAGGGAAGUGAAACAUCUCAGUACCUGCAGGAAGGGAUACUCCGUGAGUAGUGGCGAGCGAAAGCGGAUCAGACCAAACCGGUUGCGCGUGAUACCCGUCGGGGGUUGCGUUUCCGGUGUUGUGGGAUCACGUGUCCCGGUUCCGACGGGCCGGGCGGGAGUCAUAAAACGGCUUGCCAGGGGAACAGGCUUGAAGGCCUGGCCGUAGAGGGUGCCAGCCCCGUACCUGGACGUGAGCCGUCUUCCGAUCGUGUUGUCCCAAGUAGCGCGGGCCUCGUGGAAUCCCGCGUGAAUCAGCCCAGACCGUUGGGUAAGUCUAAGCAUACCUGUCUGACCGAUAGCGUACCAGUACCGUGAGGGAAAGGUGAAAAGCACCCCGGGAGGGGAGUGAAACAGUUCCUGAAACCGUGCGCCCACAAACCGUCGGAGCCUCCUUGUGGGGUGACGGCGUGCCUAUCGAAAAAUGAGUCUGCGAGUCAGUGGCGGGUGGCGAGCAUAAGCCGUGUGGCGUAUGCGUAGCGAAAGCGAGUCUUAAAAGGCGUUUUUAGUCGCUUGUCCUGGACCCGAAGCGGGAUGAUCUAGCCCUGGGCAGGUUGAAGCGCGGGUAAGACCGCGUGGAGGACCGAACCCACCUGGGUUGAAAACCGGGGGGAUGACCUGGGGCUAGGGGUGAAAGGCCAAUCAAAUUCCGUGAUAGCUGGUUCUCUCCGAAAUGCAUUUAGGUGCAGCGUCGGUCGAUUGCGUCGCGGGGGUAGAGCUACCGGAUGCUUGCGGGCCCUUGUUGGGUACCAACAGCAGCCGAACUCCGAAUACCGUUGACGUGUAUUCCGGCAGUGAGUCGGCGGGGGAUAAGCUCCGUCGUCGAGAGGGAGACAGCCCAGACCGUCGUCUAAGGUCCCGAAGCGUGUGCUAAGUGGGAAAGGAUGUGGAGUCGCAUAGACAGCCAGGAGGUUGGCUCAGAAGCAGCCAUCCUUGAAAGAGUGCGUAACAGCUCACUGGUCUAGUGGUUCCGCGCCGACAAUGUAGCGGGGCUCAAGCACACCACCGAAGACGCGGCAGCAAUCUUCAUGGUUGCUGGGUAGGAGAGCGUCCUGCGAGGGGCGAAGCGGCGGUGGAAACCGGCCGUGGACUUCGUGGGAGUGAGAAUGCAGACAUGAGUAGCGAGAGACGGGUGAGGAUCCCGUCCGCUGGAUGACCAAGGGUUCCGGGGCCACGUUCGUCGUCCCCGGGUGAGUCGGGUCCUAAGGCGAGGCCGACAGGCGUAGUCGAAUGGAUGAACGGGUGGAUAUUCCCGUACCGACCAUGGACCGGCAAAACCGAGACGGUGAGUACUAACCUCCGCCUCGUGGUGGUUCCUUCCUUCGGGUUGGUAUCGCCGCGUGGUGUUGGGAGCGUAGCCGCAGUAGGUCAGCGCAGGGGUGACACGGAAUGGGAGCCGGCCGCGGAGGUGGUUUUCCGUGGUCAAGCACGCAGCCAGUCAUGUAGGCAAAUCCGCAUGGCGCGCAUGGCGAGGUGUGAUGAUGGGAGCCGUUAUGGCUCGAUAUCCGGUUGUCCAGGCCGUCGAGAAAAGCCUCGGCGUGAGGGCCAUGGCCGCCCGUACCCCAAACCGACACUGGUGGUCAGGUAGAGAAUACCAAGGCGAUCGAGCGAAUCCUGGUCAAGGAACUCGGCAAAUCACUCCCGUGCCUUCGGUAUAAGGGAGACCCACUGGGGUGAAGGACCUUGCGUCCGGAGCUUUGGUGGGUGGCACAGACCAGGGGGUAGCGACUGUUUACCAAAAACACAGGUGCAUGCGAAGGCGAAAGCCGCUGUAUAUGCACUGACGCCUGCCCGGUGCCGGAAGGUUAAGAGGAUCCGUCAAUCCCUUCGGGGACGAAGCGGUGAAUUCAAGCCCCGGUAAACGGCGGUGGUAACUAUAACCAUCCUAAGGUAGCGAAAUUCCUUGUCGGGUAAGUUCCGACCUGCACGAAUGGCGUAACGACUUCCCCACUGUCUCGACCAGGAGCUCGGCGAAAUUGCAGUACGAGUAAAGAUGCUCGUUAAGCGCAGAAGGACGAAAAGACCCCGGGACCUUUACUAUACCUUGGUAUUGGCGUUAGGCGCGGAUUGUGUAGCAUAGGCGGGAGGCUUCGAAGCGGGUGCGCCAGCAUUCGUGGAGCCGCAAGGUGAAAUACCGCUCUGUUCUCGUUUGACGUCUAACCUCGACAAGUCAUCCUUGUCAGGGACAGUGCCUGGCGGGUAGUUCAACUGGGGCGGUUGCCUCCCAAAGAGUAACGGAGGCGCUCAAAGGUCCGCUCAGCCCGGUUGGCAAUCGGGUGUCGAGUGUAAUCGCACAAGCGGGCUUGACUGCGAGGACGACGGUCCGAGCAGGGACGAAAGUCGGAGAUAGUGAUCCGGUGCCGGCGCACGGGCGCGGCAUCGCUCAACGGAUAAAAGGUACCCCGGGGAUAACAGGCUGAUCAUUCCCAAGAGUCCAUAUCGACGGGAUGGUUUGGCACCUCGAUGUCGGCUCGUCGCAUCCUGGGGCUGGAGCAGGUCCCAAGGGUUCGGCUGUUCGCCGAUUAAAGCGGCACGCGAGCUGGGUUCAGAACGUCGUGAGACAGUUUGGUCUCUAUCCUCUGCGCUCGUUGGAAUCCUGAGGAGGCCUGCCCAUAGUACGAGAGGACCUGGGUGGACGAACCUCUGGUAUGCCGGUUGUCGCGCCAGCGGCACGGCCGGUUGGCUACGUUCGGGAGGGAUAACCGCUGAAAGCAUCUAAGCGGGAAGCCUGCUCCAAGAUUAGGAUUCCAUGGAUCUUCGAGAUCCUGUAGCCCGCAUGUUGAACACGUGUUUGAUAGGCCGGAGGUGGAAGCCCCGUGAGGGGUGGAGCCGACCGGUACUAACGGGCGAUGGCGACACAACAAUUCCGAU
rnacentral:rRNA from 1 species